GAUGAACGCUGGCGGCGUGCCUAAUACAUGCAAGUCGAGCGAACAGACGAGGAGCUUGCUCCUCUGACGUUAGCGGCGGACGGGCGAGUAACACGUGGAUAACCUACCUAUACGACUGGCAUAACUUCGGGCAACCGGAGCUAAUACCGGAUAAUAUAUUGAACCGCAUGGCUCAAUAGUGUAAGACGGUUUUGCUGUCACUUAUAGAUGGAUCCGCGCCGCAUUAGCUAGUUGGCAAGGUAACGGCCUACCAAGGCAACGAUGCGUAGCCGACCUGAGAGGGUGGUCGGCCACACUAGAGCUGAGCCACGGUCCAGACUCCUACGGUAGGCAGCAGUAGGGUAUCUUCCACAAUGCGCGGAGGCCUGACGGAGCACCGCCGCGUGAGUGAUGAAGGUCUUCGGAUCGUAGUACUCUGUUAUUUGUGAAGAACAAAUGUGUAAGUAACUAUGCACGUCUUGACGGUACCUAAUCAGAAAGCCACGGCUAACUACGUG
rnacentral:rRNA from 1 species